GCCGUAAUGUAUGGGAUGAGAGAUGUGGAUGCAAAACCAAUAUUGUUCUGCCAUAGGGCAUUCAGUUCGUGUGUAUCAAUUGGCGAGGUGAGUGACGUUGAAGUUUGUCCUUGUGUCAUUUAUAUUUUUGAAUCAGUUGAUGACUGCCUUACAAAUAUUAAAUAAUUAAUUAAGAAGGGGAUUAGUGCUGGUAAAUAAAUUUAGAAAUAGUUGUUUGGUGCCCGAAAAGGGUGUAUAAGUUGAUGAUUUGGUUUGUUUCAUGUUGCAUCAGAAGUUGCUGGCUUGUUGGUUAUGUUUUAUUGUGCCAGUUAGAGAUCAAAGAAUUAUUGUAAUGUAAUUUGAAAACUUGAAUAUUGUUGGACCUACCAGCUGGGGAUGGAAUAGAAGUAAAAUGGAGGUAGAGAGAAGAUUUUAGCGUUUGUUUGAAUGAAGGUCGUUACGGAGUUGUAUACUUAUCGGAGUUAAAGCAAGAUUAUUUCGUUGUUUUUGAGAACAACGGGGAAUUUAAAUUCAAAUUCCUGGUGAUUCAUUUGAGUGACUCCGAUAUUGAUUAUUCAAGUUUGAUAAGUUUACAUGAAGAUGACCGCUGUGUGGGAAAUAAUUUUCCGAUUCAUAUGAUGGUGAUCACUAUGAAAACCUCUGAAACUUGAGUAAUCAAUUUCGGAGGCAGCCAAACGAAUCGCCGCGGAUUUAAAUUUGGAUUCUCCUUUGUACUUAAAUGCCACGAGAAACUCUUGCUUUAGUUCCGAUCACUCUACAACUUUGUCUCAGCGUUCUUUCAGUCAAACACUGUCAUUUUUUUUCUUGCUCCAUUUUACUUCUAUUUUUUCCCGGUUGGUAGCUCCAACAAUAUUUGUUUCCGCAGGCUACUCGAAAAUUUCUGUUUUAAGAAAUUCGAUGGUACCUCGUGAUGUUGCCAACAUGGUCUUCUAAUGAUUGUUGUUAGCACGAAAAUCCAAUAGGAAUGCACGAAAUUGAAACUGAUAUGAUGUAUAAUCUCUUUUGCCGUCGAAAAAUUACGCAAUAGAAAUAAUAUAUACAGUGAAAUUUUUUUUGAUGUGCAUGUAAUUCUCGCUGACUUCCCGAGGACGAGGCCCACAACGGGGGAUUAGAAAAUGUUGCGUGCGCGCAUUGGAAAAUACGGGGAAGAAUGCAAAGUUUAUGCCGACAUGUACCGUCGUCUUUGGCUAUAAAUCCUGUUUUCGUCAGGAGGGAAGGCAAGAGCGAAGCAAUUUAAAGUGAGCAGAUGUCAGAAACGGGAUUUACAUUCUGCGCAACAUGAAAAGGAUAUUUUGUUGGAGAGUGAAAGCUUUAUUAGCAUCAGACUAAUGUUGCAUCUUACUGCAUUGCUUUGCCUUGGUUCUUCAGUUUUAGUGACAAGCAUAGGUUCGGUUGCUUCUGUUCUUUUACAUUGUUUGAAGGUUCAAGUCUGGUUCUUUCUGUUUUGCUUUGUAAAACAAACCACGGGUUUUGUGUUUCGUUUAGUGGAAGGCAAAGACACGGUUUGCUGUGUUGGCUGGAACCCAUGUUUGUCUUCUAUGCUUAUCCGGUUCAGGGGGUUGGUGAAAGAUCUGCUCCAAUUCAUUACAGAAUGGUGAAACUAUACAAGAAAUGUCUAGUUCCUAUUCAUGUUACAACCGGGUUGUACGGAAUUUGUUUGUAUUUAGACAUCGCUUCAAUGAAGGAACACAGUCUCAAUCGGAUCCAUGACUGUCAAUAAUCUAACCAUCAUGGAGGUGUUUUAACUUGGAAAGUUCAUGACAUGCCAUUCCUUUUCCUCCCGUCCAUUUCAUCAACUCUCGUUUUCUACUUCCCAGUCGGGCUGAAAGAUGAAUUACACCUCUACUUUGUGCUAUACAUUUUCACGCAGCUUUUAGCAAGUGAAGCAGUUGUGUUUGUCAUGGAAGUUUUUUACAUUUUUCCGCCAUUCAUGUUUUUAUUCCGCUAAUAAUCUCUGCGUAUUAGUUGUAGGUGUCAUAGAGUGGGUAAAGAAUGUAGUCGUCUUUUUCCCUUACUUGCAUCGUUGCAUUGCACUACGAAAUAAUGUUUUAUGCAGUUUGCCUUU